UACGAAGGGGGCGAGCGUUGUCCGGAAUUAUUGGGCGUAAAGAGCUCGUAGGCGGUCUGUCGCGUCGGCUGUGAAAACCCGGAGCUCAACUCCGGGCCUGCAGUCGAUACGGGCAAACUGGAGUGUUGCAGGGGAGACUGGAAUUCCUGGUGUAGCGGUGAAAUGCGCAGAUAUCAGGAGGAACACCGGUGGCGAAGGCGGGUCUCUGGGCAACAACUGACGCUGAGGAGCGAAAGCGUGGGGAGCGAACAGG
rnacentral:rRNA from 1 species